rnacentral:rRNA from 1 species
GACGAACGCUGGCGGCGUGCUUAACACAUGCAAGUCGAACGGAAAGGCCCUGCUUUUGUGGGUUGCUCGAGUGGCGAACGGGUGAGUAACACGUGAGUAACCGGCCCUUGCCUUUGGGAUACCUUCAGAAACCUGGGGCUAUUACCGGAUAGGAGCUCCUGCGGCAGGGGGGGGGUUGGAAGGUUUCGGCGGUUGGGGAUGGACUCGCGGCUUAUCAGCUUGUUGGUGGGGUAGUGGCUUACCAAGGCUUUGACGGGUAGCCGGCCUGAGAGGGUGACCGGCCACAUUGGGACUGAGAUACGGCCCAGACUCCUACGGGAGGCAGCAGUGGGGAAUAUUGCACAAUGGGCGGAAGCCUGAUGCAGCAACGCCGCGUGCGGGAUGACGGCCUUCGGGUUGUAAACCGCUUUCGCCUGUGACGAAGCGUGAGUGACGGUAAUGGGUAAAGAAGCACCGGCUAACUACGUG